rnacentral:rRNA from 1 species
GGGAUUGCCUUAGUAACGGCGAGUGAAGCGGCAACAGCUCAAAUUUGAAAUCUGGCCUCCUUUGGGGGUCCGAGUUGUAAUUUGCAGAGGGUGCUUUGGCGUUGGUGGCGGUCUAAGUUCCUUGGAACAGGACAUCGCAGAGGGUGAGAAUCCCGUUUGUGGUCGCCUACCUUCGCCGUGUAAAGCCCCUUCAACGAGUCGAGUUGUUUGGGAAUGCAGCUCUAAAUGGGAGGUAAAUUUCUUCUAAAGCUAAAUACUGGCCAGAGACCGAUAGCGCACAAGUAGAGUGAUCGAAAGAUGAAAAGCACUUUGGAAAGAGAGUCAAAUAGCACGUGAAAUUGUUGAAAGGGAAGCGCUUGCAGCCAGACUUGCCCGCAGUUGCUCACCUAGGCUUUUGCCUGGGGCACUCUUCUGCGGGCAGGCCAGCAUCAGUUUGGGCGGUCGGAUAAAGGCCUCUGUCACGUAUCUUCCUUCGGGAUGACCUUAUAGGGGAGGCGACAUGCGACCAGCCUGGACUGAGGUCCGCGCAUCUGCUAGGAUGCUGGCGUAAUGGCUGUAAGCGGCCCGUCUUGAAACACGGACCAAGGAGUCUAACAUCUAUGCGAGUGUUUGGGUGUCAAGCCCGAGCGCGCAAUGAAAGUGAACGUAGGUGGGAACCUUCGGGUGCACCAUCGACCGAUCCUGAUGUCUUCGGAUGGAUUUGAGUAAGAGCAUAGCUGUUGGGACCCGAAAGAUGGUGAACUAUGCUUGAAUAGGGUGAAGCCAGAGGAAACUCUGGUGGAGGCUCGCAGCGGUUCUGACGUGCAAAUCGAUCGUCAAAUUUGGGCAUAGGGGCGAAAGACUAAUCGAACUAUCUAGUAGCU